rnacentral:rRNA from 1 species
AUUGAACGCUGGCGGCAUGCCUUACACAUGCAAGUCGAGCGCGAAAGGGGGGCAACCCCCGAGUAGAGCGGCGGACGGGUGAGUAACACAUCGGAACGUGCCCAGUAGUGGGGGACAACCUCGAGAAAUCGAGGCUAAUACCGCAUACGACCCACGGGUGAAAGCGGGGGACCGCGAAGGCCUCGCGCUAUUGGAGCGGCCGAUGUCCGAUUAGCUAGUUGGCGGGGUAAGAGCCCACCAAGGCGACGAUCGGUAGCUGGUCUGAGAGGACGACCAGCCACACUGGGACUGAGACACGGCCCAGACUCCUACGGGAGG